rnacentral:rRNA from 1 species
AUGGGCCUGUGUGUGUCGUACGACGCGGCGGCCCACGGCCCGGCGACCGCGAGGGUGGUGCUCCCCAGCGGCGAGCUCCGGGAGUACUCGCCGCCCGCGACGGCAGCGAUGGCUCUUGAGGAGGUGGGGCACCAGGAGUGGUUCCUCUGCGACGCCGACGCGAUGGGGUUCGAGGGCUCCGUCGCGGCGGUGGCCAGCGGCGAGGCGCUCCUGCCGGGGCAGAUCUACUUCGUGCUCCCCAGCGACAUGCUGCGCCGCCGCCUCGCCCCCGGGGAGGUGGCAUCGCUCGCCGUCAAGGCCAGCGCCGCCCUCGUCAAGGCCGCCACCGUGUCAUCAGCCGGCAGCCGGCGCCGUCGGGGCUCCGUGGCGCCGCUCGUGUUUGAGCCGUCCGAGGAGGACUACUCGGCCGAGGAUGCCUUCACCAUGGCGACGUUCGCGGUGAAGCCGAUGGUGGCGCAGAAACGGAGGGUGGCGUACCGAGGCGGCAGGUCGCCACCGAGGUUCUCGCCCGACUUAACCGCCAUCUCCGAGAGCGAGUAG